GAUGAACGCUAGCUACAGGCUUAACACAUGCAAGUCGCGGGACCGGAGCACGGGUGAGUACCACGUAUCCAACCUGCACUUUACUCGGGGAUAGCCUUUAGAAAGAACGAUUAAUAACCGAUAUAAAGGAUGGGGAUGCGUUACAUUAGGUUGUUGGUGAGGUAACGGCUCACCAAGCCUGAGAUGGAUAGGGGUUCUGAGCGGAAUCUCCCCCACGUCGGAACUGUGACACGGCCCACACUCCUACGCGAUGCAGCAGUGAGUAAUAGUGGUCAAUGGGUGCGAGCCUGAACCAUCCAAGUAGCUUGUGGUAUUAAGGCUUAUGGGUCGUAAACGUCUUUUAUAUAAGAAUCUGUAUUAUAUGAAUAAGGUUCGGCUAACUCCGUGCCAGCAGCCGCGGUAAUAC
rnacentral:rRNA from 1 species